AUAUAUGGUUCAUUGUUCUAUCUGUGGUAUCAGGCUGCAACAUAUACAUACUAUUCACGACAAAAUGUAUGAUAUUUAAAUUAUAGGUCGAUGUAAGUUGGCAACAGUAACUAAAAAAAGAUAAGUACAACUCUAACAGCUAAAAAAAACAAAACGAUUUCGUCAUAGUCCCAUUCACUUCUUCCGUUCCGCUGUAAAGGAGGUGUUCUGUCGCGCGUUGUAUGCUGGGGUUUGUUAAUAAGUCUUUGGCCAGACUCCGCUUUUACAUCUUUCUCGGCUAAUAACAUGGACGCGGGAUUCUUCCGCGGCACAAGUGCAGAACAGGACAAUCGCUUCAGCAACAAGCAGAAGAAACUUCUAAAGCAACUGAAAUUUGCAGAAUGUCUGGAAAAGAAGGUGGAUAUGACCAAGGUGAACCUAGAGGUCAUCAAACCUUGGAUCACUCAGCGAGUGACGGAGAUCCUGGGGUUUGAGGAUGAUGUCGUCAUAGAAUUCAUAUUUAACCAGCUAGAAGAAAAGCACCCGGACAGUAAGAUGAUGCAGAUCAACCUGACGGGCUUCCUGAAUGGGAAGAAUGCCAGAGAGUUUAUGAGGGACCUGUGGCCUCUGCUGCUCAGUGCCCAGGACAACAUUGCCGGUAUCCCCUCCGCCUUCCUGGAACAGAAGAAAGAGGAGAUCAAACAGAGACAGAUUGAGCAGGAGAAGCUUGCCUCUCUGAAGAAGAUUGAUGAGAAGAAGGAAAAGGAAAACAAAGAUAACAGAGAAAGAGAGAGCCCCAGAAGGAGGAAGUCAAGGUCACAGUCUCCACGACGACGGUCUCCAGUGAAGAGGGAGAGAAAGCGGAGUCACUCCCGCUCCCCGAGGCGUAAGCCCAGUCCCAGCAGCUCCCCUCCACCAACAGCCCCAGCUGUCACCCUGGUCAGUGUUACCUUGCCCCAGAGCACUGAGGAGCCCCAGCCAGAGCCUGACACCUCUGAGAGCGCUGUACCUGAGCCAGUCGUUCAGGAGGCCUCUUCCACCAGUGAUUUGGUGAAGCCGCACACUGAGGUUGUGCUACCUGACUCUGUGAUGAAGGUCAAAGAACCCUCCCCAGGUAAGGCUUCUAAAAAGGAGGAGAGGCCCAAGCCUAGGGAGAAGGACGGCAGGAGGGACAGGCCCCGCCAUCGUUCUCGCUCCCAUUCCCGCAGACGACCUAAAUCGCGCUCCAGAUCUUACUCCCCACGCCGGAGGCCGAGCCCCAGGAGACGGAUGUCCCCUCGUCGUAGGAGCCCCCCCAGACGUGGCCCCCCAGGCCCCAGACACAGGCGCAGUCGCUCCCCUGUCCGCAGGCGGCGCUCUCGCUCCCCAUCAUCCUCUGGGAGCAACUCCUCCACGCCUCACUUACCUCAGAAGGCCAUGAAGAGAACGUCAACCACGCCUCCCAGGAAACAGCCCCGCGGCCAUGCAGCUGAUCCCUCCCUCAGCCCCUCCAGGAGAAGAGCCCCCAAUGGUAGCCCCUCUGGGAAGGCCCGACGCUCUGCCUCCCCUCGGGCUAGAAAGGGCCGGUACUCAGCCUCCCCGUCCAGAUCAGCAGGUUCAAAGAAGAAACCAGGAUCAAGGAAUGAUUCACUGUCUCCUGUUCCUAAACCCAGGCAUUCUGAGGCAUCGGAAUCAGAAGGGGCUACCGCAGAUCCUGUGCAGCAGCGACGUCAGUAUCGCAGGCAGAAUCGGGAGACGUCUUCAGAUACUGGAUCAUCCUCCUCAUCAGAGGACGAGGGGUCCAAGAGGCCGGGCGGGGGGCCAGCGGCGAGGAACGGGAAUGUCAGGAGGAGGCGCAGUCGCUCCCCCUCCUCCCCCAGGAGACGACACAGGGACGGCUCCCCCAGAAAAAGACGCUCCCUCUCUCCUGGAGGACGCAGAUCUCCCCCACGCCGUCGCAGAUCUCCCUCUCCUCCGAGACGCAGGUCUCCCUCUCCACCUCCUCGCAGACGCUCCCCCUCCCCCAGACGUUACUCUCCCCCCAUCCAGCGGCGCUACAGCCCUACUCCCCUGGGCCCACAGAAGAGAAGGCUAUCGGGGUCUCCCCCUCCCAAACGCCUUUCCCCGAUGCCCAAGCGCCGUCCCUCCAGGUCCCCGAAGCGCAGGAGUCCCCUUCCCCAAAAGAGACGCACACCUCCCCUCCCCACCUCUCCCCCCCGACUCAGGAGGAGCCCCAUGCUCCCAUCCAACCGGCCAGGCCGGGACACUCGCUCCCCCCCUGCUGUUCACAGUAACCGCCUCUCCCCCUCCCCUGCCAACCGUGGUCGGGCCAUGCGUGGGUCCACUAGUCCUCAGGGGCGCUUUGACUCCUCGGGCACCUCUCCACCUGGCCAGAGGCGCCAGGCGUCCCCCUCACACAGCAACAGGGCAAUCCGCAGGGUGUCCCGGACACCAGAGCCCCGCAAGAACCAGAGAGCCUCUCAGAGCCCCCAGCCUAUGAGGAGAGCGUCAUCAAGGUCACCGUCUGGUUCUCCUAAACCAGAAGCCUUGAAGCGGCCGGCCCCAGCCUCAGGCUUCCCCUCAUCGGGCUGCUCAGCCAGUGGCUCGCCAUCAGCCCCUCUGGCCAAAAUGGCCAGCAGCGGCUCUGGCAGCCCUUCUCCAAACAAGUCACUCUGCUUUGUCCUCUCCAUCUCAGAAUUCAGACACCGAGGCUGGAGGAAAGAAAAACAAGAAACAUAAGAAGGAGAAGAAACAUAAGAAGGAGAAGAAACACAAGAAGCACAAGAAACACAAGAAGGAGAAGAGUGGAGUGCUGGUGGCUGCUGGGGAUGGCCAGGAGAACCUGGGGAUGGAAGAGGAUGUAGACUCCGACCUUAAAAAGACAGUGAAGUAGAAGAGCGUCUGGACGACCUGGAGAAGCACCUGCGAGAGAAGGCACUGCGUUCCAUGAGGAAAGCUGGAAAGCUUUCCCCGCCACUGUCUUGAAGCCCGGUCACACCCCUCCUUCCUCCUCCAAAUCUUCCAUACACUUUUCGUUUUAUUUGUCUUUAACCUGGUUCAGCUUUAGAAUGUACAAAUUGUUUAUUCUUUAGUUUUGUUUUUACAGGUUUGCUCAUCUGUUGAUGGAUGUUUUUGAUCAAGAGCUUGAAUUGUCACACGCGAUCUUCCAAUUUAAUUAAAAAAUAUUCCCUGUAUCUUUGACCCAAAAUGUGUUAUUGCUUAUAUCCAAACUGUAGAAGUAUCUUUGUUUGAUCCCUCAAUUUUCAAGAUAGGAUCAUAGAGGGGAAUUCUUUAAUUAUGAAGCUUGCAUUGUACAAGCUUCUAUGUCUCUUUCUACAACAUACAAAAUAUUCAACUGUGGUAAUUUAGGAUUGCAUGUGCAGCCAGCGAGUCUCUCCUCUGAUGUGCAUGAAAUGGACUGUAAACAAAAGCAAAUGCACAGAUUAAAUCUGUCCCUUUUGUCAGCGGGAAUUGUAUGGUGCGGGAAUGCUGUUUGCUCUGUAAAAUGGAUAAGUCGGAUUUUCCCUUUUUUGUUAUGUAAUAGAGGUGUUUGACAUUGCAGUAAAUUCUGGCUUUGAAAAAGUCACGUUUAAAAAGAACUAGACCUUUUUUCCCAUGAUUCUAAUGGUCUCUGACCUCACCAGAGAUCAGGGGUUUGAUUUCCCACAUGGGUUGAUAUGCAGUCAUACUUUGAGUUCACGCUGGUCCACUCUUUUGCGUUAAGCUGUUCAUUGCUGUGGAAGUGCUAUUUGACUUGUAUUUAAAAACUCCUGCAUUUGUCAUCCUUUCAAAAUUAAAAUAUGUUUUAUAUUA